AAAAAUUAACAUCAUCCGAUCCCUAGUCGGCAUAGUUUAUGGUUAAGACUACGACGGUAUCUGAUCGUCUUCAAUCCCCUAACUUUCGUUCUUGAUUAAUGAAAACAUCCUUGGCAAAUGCUUUCGCAGUAGUUAGUCUUCAAUAAAUCCAAGAAUUUCACCUCUGACAAUUGAAUACUAAUGCCCCCAACUAUCCCUAUUAAUCAUUACGUCGAUCCUAGAAACCAACAAAAUAAAAUCAAAUGUCCUAUUUCGUUAUUCCAUGCUAAUGUAUUCAAGCGUGAGCCUGCUUUAAACACUCUAAUUUUUUCAAAGUAACAGUCCUGAUUCCCCAAAACACCAAAUUAAUGGCAUUAAGAUUCGUCAGAAAGGAGAAACCAAUAAUACCAGUACGUACAAAAGCACGACCAAUAAACCGGUCUCGAAAUUCAACUACGAGCUUUUUAACUGCAACAACUUUAAUAUACGCUAUUGGAGCUGGAAUUACCGCG
rnacentral:rRNA from 1 species